rnacentral:rRNA from 1 species
UGGCUCAGGAUGAACGCUAGCGACAGGCUUAACACAUGCAAGUCGAGGGGCAGCACAGGUAGCAAUACUGGGUGGCGACCGGCGCACGGGUGCGUAACGCGUAUGCAACCUACCUAUAAUAGGGGGAUAGCCUUCUGAAAGGGAGAUUAAGACCGCAUAAUACAACUGAAUCGCAUGGAUUAGUUGUAAAAUAUUUAUAGAUUAUAGAUGGGCAUGCGUCUGAUUAGAUAGUUGGAGAGGCAACGGCUCACCAAGUCAACGAUCAGUAGGGGUUCUGAGAGGAAGGUCCCCCACACCGGAACUGAGACACGGUCCGGACUCCUACGGGAGGCAGCAGUGAGGAAUAUUGGUCAAUGGGCAAGAGCCUGAACCAGCCAAGUCGCGUGAAGGAAGAAGGUCUUAUGGAUUGUAAACUUCUUUUAUAGGGGAAUAAAGAUGAGUACGUGUACUCAGUUGUAGGUACCCUAAGAAUAAGGAUCGGCUAACUCCGUGCCAGCAGCCGCGGUAAUACGGAGGAUCCGAGCGUUAUCCGGAUUUAUUGGGUUUAAAGGGUGCGUAGGCGGGUUGAUAAGUCAGUGGUGAAAGGUUUGCGCUCAACGUAGACAUUGCCAUUGAAACUGUCAGUCUUGAGUACAAAUGAGGUAGGCGGAAUGUGUUGUGUAGCGGUGAAAUGCAUAGAUAUGACACAGAACACCAAUUGUGAAGGCAGCUU